UUUAACACCUUGUAGAGUCAACAUGGGCCAGCAUCCCUGUGGAACGCUUUCAACUCCUUGUAGAGUCAACAUGGACCAGCAUCACCGUGGAACGCUUUCAACUCCUUGUAGAGUCAACAUGGGCCAGCAUCCCUGUGGAACGCUUUCAACUCCUUGUAGAGUUCAUGCCCUGAGAAUUUAGGCUGUUCUGAGGGCAAAAGGAGGUGCAACUCAAUAUUAGUAAGGUGUUCUUAAUGUUUUGUAUACUCAGUGUGUACUAUAAUGCAUUGUGCCUCUCAAGGGGGUGGAAACUGAGGCUAGACUGGGCCUGACUGAAGGCUGGCUGGCCUGAUGCAUUAUGACCUGAAGCUCACAGGCAUUUACAAUGCCCUCCACCAAUCCCCUGGCCUGUUACUGUUAGGUUGAAUGCCCUCCACCAAUCCCCUGGCCUGUUACUGUUAGGUUGAAUGCCCUCCACCAAUCCCCUGGCCUGUUACUGUUAGGUUGAAUGCCCUCCACCAAUCCCCUGGACUGUUACUGUUAGGUUGAAUGCCCUCCACCAAUCCCCUGAACUGUUACUGUUAGGUUGAAUGACUAACGAUGAACCCUACCUACAGUGAUUUGCUCUGACAGCAUUUUCUAUGUUAAUUUGACUAAUGAGUAACAUUUAAGUAUUUUUUUAGAGAUACUCAUGUCAACAAAUGAAUUUAGUUUAUUUUACAGGGAGAGGUGUAUGAACAGGGGAUGGACACUAUGAGGAAAUGGGAGGGGAGAGGAGGGGAGAGAUGAUGUCAAAUAGUUUUAUAUCCUGAAUGAUGAACCAUGUCUCUGACAUGUUGUAUUUUAUUGGAGCUGUGGAUGUGGCUAGCUCUGGUCCAGGGGGUUAGUGCAUUCCUCGCUGACGCCCUGGACCAGAGCUAGUUGUGGUUAACUGUGGUAGAGAGAAAUAUAAUUUUAAAAUGCUGUAAUUUCAAGUAAAUAAGAAAAGAAACCCAAGACCUUACUUUAAAGACAAGAUCAAAGCUGCUCUCCCUAAUGAGGAGUUGUACAUAUAAAUGUAUUUGAACAAAGUAUUAUUUGCAAUAUUAUAAUGUACAGAAUUGUAUUUAUAAUGUAUCUCAACAAACUGUUUUAAUUGGUACAAAGAUGUUCUAGAAUACAGAACGUUUACGAUCUAAACACUUGUUGUGUGUCGCCUCUUAUUUGCAUUCAAUCAAUUGAGUCAAUGCAGGUAUUUAUUGAGACUCGUGCAACUAUUUGUUCCUGAUUAUAGCCUCAUUGAAGUGUUUGAGUGUAAUUCAAGGUGUCGAGUAGGAAUAAUUAUACGGAAACAAAAAUAUAAACGCAACGUGUAAAGUGUUG
ensembl:lncRNA